rnacentral:tRNA from 1 species
AAUGAAGUGCCUGAGAAAGGGUUAUUUUGAUAGAAUAAAUCACGUGAAACCAUCACCUUCAUUG